UCCCAGUUCGGAUUGUAGUCUGCAACCCGACUACAUGAAGCCGGAAUCGCUAGUAAUCGCGGAUCAGAAUGCCGCGGUGAAUACGUUCCCGGGUCUUGUACACACCGCCCGUCACACCAUGGGAGUCGGAAAUGCCCGAAGCCGGUGACCCAACCCGAAAGGGAGGGAGCCGUCGAAGGCAGGUCGGAUGACUGGGGUGAAGUCGUAACAAGGUACC
rnacentral:rRNA from 1 species